AUUGAACGCUGGCGGCAGGCCUAACACAUGCAAGUCGAACGAGUGGCGGACGGGUGAGUAAUGUCUGGGAAACUGCCUGAUGGAGGGGGAUAACUACUGGAAACGGUAGCUAAUACCGCAUACCAUCAGCUCUGCCCAGAUGGGAUUAGCUAGUUGGGGGGGUAACGGCUCACCAAGGCGACGAUCCCUAGCUGGUCUGAGAGGAUGACCGGCCACACGGGAACUGAGACACGGCCCAGACUCCUACGGGAGGCAGCAGUGGGGAAUAUUGCACAAUGGGCGCAAGCCUGACGCAGCAAUGCCGCGUGUAUGAAGAAGGCCUUCGGGUUGUAAAGUACUUUUAGUGGGGAGGCGGUACCCGCAGAGAAAGCACCGGCUAACUCCGUGCCAGCAGCCGCGGUAAUUC
rnacentral:rRNA from 1 species